GGCAAAAUAGGAGACUUUUUGAUCUCCUCCUUUUCUCAAAACAAAGGAUCUCAUGGCUGGUGUGGGUGUGGUCAGCAAUGGUGCUGGCCAUGAAGGUGCCACCAACAGUCCUGCAACCGGCAGUCCAGCAAGAUCCUUGAGUUGAAUCAUGAUCAAGAAACCAAGAAAAAUAAGGAAGAAGAAAAUUUGGUUAAAUCCAAACUAGCAGUGACCUCAUAGGGGAGGGGA
rnacentral:lncRNA from 1 species